rnacentral:lncRNA from 1 species
CAAAAAGAAAAAGGACUUGAAUCAUGGGGAAAGAAUUCUCAGCAUUUGGGCAAGUCUGCAGGAGGAGGAAGAAGUUUCUGAUCAGGUUUAUCUCCAUCAAGAACAAGCCAAGCCAUCCUCAGACCCCAACUGUGUUUCUCUUACCUGGGUUAUCUGCAAGGAAUCGAAUAGCAGCCCAUCCACCAGAUGGCACACCGACUGUGUUCCUCUCUAUUGGGUCAACAAGGUUGAAGUUUCUAGGAUCCUUGUUCGGGUCGAAAUUCCCAAACCCUUGGCCAACAACAAAGAAGUUGAACCCAUGAAGAUGAAGAGGAUGGCUUUCUGCGCCAAGAAUGCUAGUGUCUUGCAUCACCAACUCCACACUGGUGUUAUAAGGUUGAGGAAGAAGAAGAACACAAGAGAAUACAGCUAGGAGUAGCUGUAACGCCAUUGAAGUGAGCUUGGACACGGAGGCGUUGUUUAGAGCAGGUGGGGAACUUAAGAGAUAAACCGAUGUGGAGUUAGUCAAAACAUUCGUAAGCUAAAAUUGCUUGGGGAAUAAGCAAAGAGAGGGAGAUUGUAGCUAUCAAAGAAGGUCACGAUUAGGGUUAGAUAUCAAAAUCCAUGAAGGGAAUUUCCGAAAUUUUUAUUCUUUUUGAUAAGAACAUUGAGGAAACCUC